rnacentral:rRNA from 1 species
CGGCAAAGCUCAAUUUGAAAUCUGGUACCUUCGGUGCCCGAGUUGUAAUUUGGAGAGGGCAACUUUGGGGCCGUUCCUUGUCUAUGUUCCUUGGAACAGGACGUCAUAGAGGGUGAGAAUCCCGUGUGGCGAGGAGUGCGGUUCUUUGUAAAGUGCCYUCGAAGAGUCGAGUUGUUUGGGAAUGCAGCUCUAAGUGGGUGGUAAAUUCCAUCUAAAGCUAAAUAUUGGCGAGAGACCGAUAGCGAACAAGUACAGUGAUGGAAAGAUGAAAAGAACUUUGAAAAGAGAGUGAAAAAGUACGUGAAAUUGUUGAAAGGGAAGGGCAUUUGAUCAGACAUGGUGUUUUGUGCCCUCUGCUCCUUGUGGGUAGGGGAAUCUCGCAUUUCACUGGGCCAGCAUCAGUUUUGGUGGCAGGAUAAAUCCAUAGGAAUGUAGCUUGCCUCGGUAAGUAUUAUAGCCUGU